rnacentral:rRNA from 1 species
CCUACGGGUGGCAGCAGUGAGGAAUAUUGGUCAAUGGACGAGAGUCUGAACCAGCCAAGUAGCGUGAAGGAUGACUGCCCUAUGGGUUGUACACUUCUUUUAUAUGGGAAUAAAACGUUCCACGUGUGGGAUUUUGUAUGUACCAUAUGAAUAAGGAUCGGCUAACUCCGUGCCAGCCGCCGCGGUAAUACGGAGGCUCCGAGCGUGAUCCGGAUUUAGUGGGUUUAAAGGGAGCGUAGGUGGAUUGUUAAGUCAGUUGUGAAAGUUUGCGGCUCAACCGUAAAAUUGCAGUUGAAACUGGCAGUGUAGAGUACAGUAGAGGUGGGCGGAAUGCGUGGUGUAGCGGUGAAAUGCUUAGAGAUCACGAAGAACUCCGAUUGCGAAGGCAGUUCACUGGACUGCAACUGACACUGAGGCUCGAAAGUGUGGGGAUCAAACAGGAUUAGAUACCCCUGUAGUC